rnacentral:tRNA from 1 species
GGUGGCUCAGAUGGUAAAGCAUCUGCCUGCAAUGCAGGAGACCUGGGUUCAAUCCCAAUC